CAAAGAGCAGCACUGAGCAGAAAUAACACUGCUCCUGUUCAUUCUCCAUCAGUGAGGGGCCGGUGCUGGACACUGUGUAGGGACGCGGGAAUGCAAAGUCAUACACAUGACUGUGACUGAUGCAGUAUCUCCAGGACAUGGAGUAGCAUUUCCGGACCUACAGCAAGACGUUGGAUGAAGGCAUAGCCCCAGAAAUAACACUGGUCCUGUUCAUCAGUGAGGGGCCGGUGCUGGACACUGUGUAGGGACACGGGAAUGCAAAGUCAUGCACAUGACUGUGACUGAUGCACUAUUUCCAGGACAUGGAGUAGCAUUUCGGGACCUACAGCAAGACGUUGGAUGAAGGCUCAGGCCUAGGAAUCAUGCACAUACACAGAAACAUUUGCCCAAAUUAUAGAGGUAACCUCCUUUAGUAUGCCCAGAGGAAGGGCCAUACAGUAGCCAUGGAUUCCCUACAGGUUUCCUCCCCUCUGGAGGUUUUUCCUGUCCUGAGUAUUAGUUACUGUACGCUCUUUGUGAGUGAUGGGAGGUUACAAAAAAUCCCCUACACAAACAUUUUAAUAAAUUAUAAAUAAAGUUCCCCU